AACGAACGCUGGCGGCAUGCCUAACACAUGCAAGUCGAACGAGACCUUCGGGUCUAGUGUCGCACGGGUGCGUAACGCGUGGGAACCUGCCCUUAGGUUCGGAAUAACUCCCCGAAAGGGGUGCUAAUACCGGAUAAUGUCUUCGGACCAAAGAUUUAUCGCCUUUGGAUGGGCCCGCGUUGGAUUAGCUAGUUGGUAGGGUAAAAGCAUACCAAGGCGACGAUCCAUAGCUGGUCUGAGAGGAUGAUCAGCCACACUGGGACUGAGACACGGCCCAGACUCCUACGGGAGGCAGCAGUGGGGAAUAUUGGACAAUGGGCGAAAGCCUGAUCCAGCAAUGCCGCGUGAGUGAUGAAGGCCUUAGGGUUGUAAAGCUCUUUUACCCGGGAUGAUAAUGACAGUACCGGGAGAAUAAGCUCCGGCUAACUCCGUG
rnacentral:rRNA from 1 species